CCUACGGGUGGCAGCAGUCGAGAAUUUUUCACAAUGGGCGAAAGCCUGAUGGAGCGACGCCGCGUGGGGGAUGAAGGGCUUCGGCUUGUAAACCCCUGUCAUUUGCGAACAAUGGCGCCAACCUAAUACGUUGUCGCCUGAUAGUAGCAGAAGAGGAAGGGACGGCUAACUCUGUGCCAGCAGCCGCGGUAAUACAGAGGUCCCAAGCGUUGUUCGGAUUCACUGGGCGUAAAGGGUGCGUAGGUGGUGGGCUAAGUCGGGUGUGAAAUCUCCGGGCUCAACCCGGAGGGUGCGCCCGAAACUGGUUCGCUCGAGGAUGGGAGGGGAGACUGGAAUUCUCGGUGUAGCAGUGAAAUGCGUAGAUAUCGAGAGGAACACCGGUGGCGAAGGCGAGUCUCUGGACCAUUCCUGACACUGAGGCACGAAAGCCGGGGGAGCAA
rnacentral:rRNA from 1 species